AUUGAACGCUGGCGGCAGGCCUAACACAUGCAAGUCGAGCGGGGUUUUCGGACCUAGCGGCGGACGGGUGAGUAAUGCGUAGGAAGCUGCCCGAUAGAGGGGGAUACCAGUUGGAAACGACUGUUAAUACCGCAUAAUGUCUACGGACCAAAGUGUGGGACCUUCGGGCCACAUGCUAUCGGAUGCGCCUACGUGGGAUUAGCUAGUUGGUGAGGUAAUGGCUCACCAAGGCGACGAUCUCUAGCUGGUUUGAGAGGAUGAUCAGCCACACUGGAACUGAGACACGGUCCAGACGCCGACGGGAGGCAGCAGUGGGGAAUAUUGGACAAUGGGCGCAAGCCUGAUCCAGCCAUGCCGCGUGUGUGAAGAAGGCCUUCGGGUUGUAAAGCACUUUCAGCGAGGAGGAAGGGUGGUGUGUUAAUAGCACAUCAUCUUGACGUUACUCGCAGAAGAAGCACCGGCUAACUCUGUGCCAGCAGCCGCGGUAACAC
rnacentral:rRNA from 1 species